GACGAACGCUGGCGGCGUGCUUAACACAUGCAAGUCGAACGGUAAGGCCCUUCGGGGUACACGAGUGGCGAACGGGUGAGUAACACGUGGGUGAUCUGCCCUGCACUUCGGGAUAAGCCUGGGAAACUGGGUCUAAUACCGGAUAGGACCACUGCCUGCAUGGGUGGUGGUGGAAAGCUUUUGCGGUGUGGGAUGGGCCCGCGGCCUAUCAGCUUGUUGGUGGGGUGAUGGCCUACCAAGGCGACGACGGGUAGCCGGCCUGAGAGGGUGACCGGCCACACUGGGACUGAGAUACGGCCCAGACUCCUACGGGAGGCAGCAGUGGGGAAUAUUGCACAAUGGGCGCAAGCCUGAUGCAGCGACGCCGCGUGAGGGAUGGUGGCCUUCGGGUUGUAAACCUCUUUCAGCACCGACGAAGCGCAAGUGACGGUAGGUGCAGAAGAAGGACCGGCCAACUACGUGCCAGCCGCCGCUGUAA
rnacentral:rRNA from 1 species